rnacentral:lncRNA from 1 species
GGGCUAUUAGCAGGAGCAGGAAUGGCAGUUGUUGUGGUAGGCGCAGGUCCGGCGGUGGAUUGAUCCUGGGACGCAGCAGCUGUUGUAACUUCAGUAGAAUACGCUGUAGGCUGCCCAUAACUACCAGUAGCAUAACAAUCACAGUAUGACUGCUACUGGCCAUAGCCUGGCUGACUGUAUCCAUACUGCACAUAACCAGCCUGAGUAGGCGGUGCCUGUCCAUACGGAGCAGAUGAAGGCGGCUUCUGAGCAUACGGAGGCUACCCAUAAGCACCCUGGCCAUACGUGCCCAGUGGUGGUGGCUGCAUAUCAUAGCCAGGCUGUGUCUGUGGAGCAACGUAUCCAUAUUGAGGGGCAAAACCUUGCGCCGUUUAGCUUGAUGCAGCAGCACUAGUAUAGGUGGUUGAUUAGGAUAACCCAGUUAGCCUCCAGUAGCUGGAGUUGAAGCUUGCUGCCCUGAAGAUGCUUGACCAGCUCCACCUGGACGAGUACCAUACCCUUGUGAAGCAUGAGUAGCAGGCUGGCUGUAACUGUACCUGCUAGCACCAGCAGGCACAACAGUUCCAGUGGCAGACUGUUGUUGUUGGGAUUGCUGCUGUUGGUUAUAGUAGUCAUAGCCAGUGCCAAGGGGAGCUGCUGUGCCAUAAGGUUGCUGGCCAUACUAUGGUGGUGCACCAGGAUAAGCUCCAGGCUGCAUGUAAACAUGCUGUUGUGUUGCUGGUGCAUCAGGCGCAGCCCAGUUUGCCCGAGGGCAGAGAGGAUGGUAGCCCUGUUGGAUUUCUGGCACGAUUCUGCAAAAAUAUAGUUUCACAUCAGAAUAGGUAUAGAACACAACAUACAAUGUACCAUGCAGAACAAGUGCAAACCAGACAAAACAUAUCCAAAGACAAAACAAUGUAAUAUACUGUAAUUUCAGAACCACCAAGAAAAAUGGAGGGAUCAACUCACGGAGCAAGAUUCUCAAGUAACAUUGGUGAUGCUCAUCUAGCGUCUACCAUGUGCAGAACUACGGGACCUAAUGAAGAUCAGGCAGCUAGAUAAACACAUGUAUAUAUUGAAUAGCAAUAAAAGAUUGCCUUGCAAGUUUGUAGAUGUUGAUAAAUCAGCAAUAAUGGAUGGUGACAAAGUGAUCCAUAAUUUUGUGCAACAUCCACUUAUAUUGCUAAAUGACAGAACAUACCCAACAGCAGUUCUUUCGGCAAGUCUCUCCAAAAAGUAUAUUAUAGGUGAACAGAAGAACGUCAAAGGAAAUAUUUAAGCAAAGUGUUAAGGACGCUUUUGGUCAUGUAACCUGAAGAGUCAACAGAGGGAGAAAAUAUAUACAAACAAACCAAAGAUAAUAGAUUCAUGUGAAAUAUGCAUAAUCUUUCCAAACUAUACAUAGCACAUACAAACUUUCUUGCCCAGUCAAUAAACUGUAACAUUCUUAUUUGUUACAUGUUGCUCCCAGAGGGUGGUGUUAGCAACAGAUAGAAUGGUCUGAAAAUUAAGCAUCAAGAAUUAUCCCCUGAGUAAGCAAAAAUAUCAAUAGCCUAAAUACCAGCUACUACAGUGCACGAUCCCUCGUUGAAGUGUGUAGACUGACUAGUUGAAUGCCCGUGCAUUGCCACGGGCAAAUAAAAUUAGACAUACAAAUAUCGAUUGAACAUCCCUGUAAUUUAGAAGGUAUAUAAAACUAUUGAAAUAUAUUUCAAUUCUUUUUUUAUUUUUUUUUCAUAUAGCACCUUGAAAGGGGCAAGGAAGAUUUUCUAAUUAAUUAGAAAAUUCAGUCAAAAAAUCAGAUACAAAGGGCACAACACGAGUUGUUGGAGUGAAAGACAAAAACAACCACACUAUUAAACACACAGGUGCUAAAUCUCCACCGAUCAGCAUACCAAAUCCAACAUAACCCGCCCACUAAGAGACAUAAGAAGGAGCCCGUCUCUUGAAAGAGAACAUAAUCACUUCACUUAGCACCUUAUUGCUGUCAGCGAGUUUGGGACGUCCCUACAAGCCUACACUGGGGACAAAGGACACACCUCAAGAACCAUACACCGUCUUAGUAUCAGUUACACNNNNNNNNNNNNNNNNNNNNNNNNNNNNNNNNNNNNNNNNNNNNNNNNNNNNNNNNNNNNNNNNNNNNNNNNNNNNNNNNNNNNNNNNNNNNNNNNNNNNCCCAGGACAUCAUCGUGUGACGGUGAUCUACACCAACACCUCUGUCAUCUUCACCAACACCUCCAUCACCUUCCCCCAUCUAUAUUCAGCGGUCCACUCUCCCGCAACCCGCUGUACCCUCUACUUGAACAUGGUGCUUUAUGCUUCAUAUUAUUAUCCAAUGAUGUGUUUCCAUCCUAUGAUGUCUGGGUAGAUUUUCGUUGUCCUGUCGGUGAUUGAUGAAUUGCUAUGAUUGGUUUAAUUUGCUUGUGGUUAUGUUGUUGUCCUUUGGUGCCCAUCAUAUGAGCGCGCGCGUGGAUCACACCAUAGGGUUAGUAGUAUGUUGAUAGGACUAUGUAUUGGAGGGCAAGAGUGACAGAAGCUUCAGCCUAGCAUAGAAAUUGAUGCAUACGGGAUUGAAGGGGGGCCAAUAUAUCUUAUUGCUAUGGUUGGGUUUUACCUUAAUGAACGUUAGUAGUUGCGGAUGCUUGCUAAUAGUUCCAAUCAUAAGUGCAUAGAAUUCCAAGUAAGGGAUGACAUGCUAGGAGUGGCCUCUCCCACAUAAAACUUGUUAUCGGUCUAGUAACGUAGUCAAUUGCUUAGGGACAAUUCCGCAACUCCUACCACCACUUUUCCACACUCGUUAAACUAAAGUAAUUGUUUCUUUAUCUAACCAGCCCCUAGUUUUUAUUUACUUAUUCUUUAUUUUCUUGCAAACCUAUCCUAUCACACCUACAAAGUACUUCUAGUUUCAUACUUGUUCUAGGUAAAGCGAACGUAAAGUGUGCGUAGAGUUGUAUCGGUGGUCGAUAGAACUUGAGGGAAUAUUUGUCCUACCUUUAGCUCCUCGUUGGGUUCGACACUCUUACUUAUCGAGAAAGGCUACAAUUGGUCCCCUAUACUUGUGGGUUAUCAAGCCUCAGAACAAAUUUUGAUCUGGUUAUAAAGGGUGUUACCCCCUCUUGCUAUAGGGAACAGUUCGGUUAGGGAUUGCUAAAGGUGUCUGCCUCUACAAAGUCAUGUGAGAAUCGAGAAUUAUUAUUAAUCUUUGUGCAGAGUUAAAAGUUGUGGCCCCCGCGAUGUUUCGGUAAUCGAGAAUUGGCCAAGGACGAAAUCAUCAUUUCUUGCUCGGAGGAAACAAAGGAACUUGCCUUGCAAACUGAACACUUUGGGCGUGAUCACCCAAAGACCCUACACAUCGGCAUUGAAGGCUAGUUCGGGGGCUACUGAGGGAGUCUGGGAUUAAGGGGUCCUCAGGUAGUCGGCUUACUAUGAAAAGGUCGGCCUCAUAGGCCGUGCUUGUGGGAGGUCGGGCUGUGCGGUCAUCUCGUGUUCAAGGAGGAAAGCACCGAAGACCAGCAUGAUGUCCAAGUAAAGUAGUCUAGGUCGGUUGUGUGUAACCCUAGGUCCCUCGAUGACUAUAUAAACCGGGGGUCCCCGUCCGUGUAGGCAGGUUGAUUCACCUAAGGUUUAGUAUACACAAUCUCGAGGUAGACUCUGUAAUCACUAACAUCAAUAUAAUCAAGCAGGGCAUAGGGUUUUACCUCCUCGAGAGGGCUCGAACCCGGGUAAACAUUGUCUCCCCCUCUUUCCUGCAACCCAUCGAUCUGAUGUCCACAGUUCGGGACCCCCUACACAAAAUCUCCCGGUUUUGACGCCGACACCUGCCUAACAUCAACAACUUACCUUAUCCUUUGUUUUUGUUCAUGCAACAACAAGGUUCCUGACUUAACAAGAAACAAAGCUUCAACAUUUAAUAAUACAAAAUAUGAACUUUUGCAACUUCUCCAUUUCUGAAAAAGCAUAUUAAUGUUCUCACAUGGAAACAAUAACACGAGAUAUUAAAAUAGUCCAUGUUAUGAACAAUGCAAAUUGGUCGAAGGGUAAAAUUAAAAUGAACAUGUAGGAUUUUUAAGUCUAGAAGGUAUGAAAAUCUAGAGAGCAACACACAACAUAGUACUUCACUGGAUGCACGACCACACAUAUUUACGAACUUAGCUAGUGAAUUGCAUGAUUAGAUUCGUCCAUGUAGGAUCCUAUUAAGUGUCAACAACCAUUGGGCUACUCACAUGUCUUGUGUUUUUCCAGAAUACAUGUAUGAUAGAACGAUGGAGAGCUACAUUUCGACCAAAUUAUUUCAAUGUCAAAAAUAAUGUGAACAAGUUUUUGUCCUUGCAAAUCGCAAGCACCUUACAAGAAACAUAUUGUUAGCUGGCCUACUCAAGCAAUGCAUCAAUUUUUCAGCAAGCUAAUCAACCAAGUAGCCCAAGUAGAUAGCAUUUCUCUACGGGUCAUCAUAGUUAACAAUGCUAAGACACUUUCAUGUUUAGAGUUCAUACCAACAACACAAAUUCCAUAUUCCAUUAUUUUAAUAUUCACAUGGGGGACAAAAUGGAGAACCACUAACANNNNNNNNNNNNNNNNNNNNNNNNNNNNNNNNNNNNNNNNNNNNNNNNNNNNNNNNNNNNNNNNNNNNNNNNNNNNNNNNNNNNNNNNNNNNNNNNNNNNCCCCCCUGCUCUUUGGUAUAAUGCUGAAAAUCAGUGCACUCUAAUUUAACUUACCAACAUGUAUGCUAUUUCAAAAUUUCUCUAAGUUUGGUGAAUUUCGGUCUGUGUUUCUAAGAUUCUCCAGGGUAUGUUGGUGUGUAUCGCAGGAAAUAGCAGUUUCGUAUUUCAUUAAUGCUCUGAUCAAAAUUAGGUGCAACCAAGAUGGGUUUCCCCAGUGGAUAGUAGAUUGCAAUUUCCUGGUAUCAUCUAGAAUGCUUUUGUUUAGAAUGUUCUGAUCUAGAGUAGUUCAAUAAUCUAUUUAAGAAGCUGGAGUUGAGGAAUUAUUGACCACAUUUGCAAAACUAGAUGAUUAUAUGUGUACGCUUAUGUUUUAGUUUUGUAAUAACAAUAUAUAUGGCAAGGCAAUGGGCUAUACCAGGUCGUCUGAGAUGUCUAUGAUAUGUAUAUAUCUGCAAAGAUAAAAGCGUGUAAGCUCUUCUUUUGCACGCAACUUACCGAGGCAAGAUCCGAUGUUUUUUGCUUUGCACUUAGUUUUUAAAUUCCUCUUUUUUGGUCGAGUUGGGCAUGGGUGCGGCGACUAUAUAAUGGAGUGUUAGUCGACUCCAUACAUUUGGUGGUCGUUAGUGACUUGGUUCAACCUGGUCAGCUUGUGUGUGGGACGGAUGGGACGAUUAUUAAUUAGGGUUUAGGGGACUAUUUGUGGAUUAGGCAUGUGGUCGACUUAGUGAUUGGAUUUGGCUGAGUUGGAUGUGCGUGUGUUGACUAUAUUGUGGGAUGGUAGGCGACUCUUGUAUGUGAGGUGGUCGUGGGCGAGUUAGUUCAAACCGGUCGGCUCAUUUUCUAGGAUGGGCGGGCGACUAUGUAUUGGGGUUUAGGAGACUUCAUCUUUGGAUUAGGCAUGUGGAAGACCUAGUGUAUUGGAUUUAUUCGUGUUGGGCGUGGAUGAUAGGUGACUCCGUCCGUACGGUGGUCAUGGGUGACUAAGUUCAACACGGUCUGCUUGGUUUGUGGGAUGGGUGGGGCGACUAUGAAUUGAGGUUUAGGCGACUUUGUCCGUGUAUUAGACAUGUGGGCGACUUAGUGUAUUAGAUUUGAUCAAGUUGGGCGUGGGUGGUAGGCGAUUCCUCAUGGGUGCAUUGGCCGUGGGCGGCUUAGUUCAACCCGGUCGGCUCAGUUUGUAGGAAGUGCAAGUCAACUAUGAAUUGGGGUUUAAGCAACUUCAUCUCUGGAUUAGCAUGUGGGCGACUUAGUGUAUUGGAUUUGGUCGAGUUGGGUGUGGGGUGUGGCGACUAUAUAAUGGGUUGGUAGUCGACUCCAUGCAUUUGGUGGUCGCGGGCGACUUGGUUUAACCCGGUUAGCUUGGUGUGUGGGACGGGCGUGACCACUAUUAAUUAGGGUUUAGGGGACUCCAUUAGUGGACUAAGCGUGUGGUCGACUUAGUGAUUGGAUUUGGCUGAGUUGGGCGUGGUUGUGGUGACUAUAUGGUGGGAUGGUAGGUGACUCCCAUGUGUAUGGUGGUCGUGGGCGUCUUAGUUCAACCUGGUUGGCUUGGUUUGUGGGAAGUGCGGGGCAACUAUGAAUCAGGAGUUUAGGCGACUCCAUCUAUGGAUUAGGCAUGUGGACAACCUAGUGUAGUGGAUUUGGUAGGGUUGGGUACGGAUGCAGUGACUACAUAAUGGGAUGAUAGACGACUUUGGCGUUCGGUGGCCAAACUAGCCCAAUAUUAAGCGAAAAAUGCCCGAGAGACAUCCUUCCUCCCUUUCCCGUCACCACUAUGGUCUCCCUAAACAACAUUAACACAUGGCCAAAAACUAGUGAAAAAGAUCCCGCAUCCACUAGCCGAAACCAUGGAGGUGACUCACCUUGUGAUAUCCAAGAUCUGAAUCCUUUUGCUCCAUAGUUUUUUUGUGCACACGGUCGACCAUCACGCCGUGCACGCAUUUGUUUCNNNNNNNNNNNNNNNNNNNNNNNNNNNNNNNNNNNNNNNNNNNNNNNNNNNNNNNNNNNNNNNNNNNNNNNNNNNNNNNNNNNNNNNNNNNNNNNNNNNNUAAACCAAAUCAAAUAUCAUUUUAUCCAUCAAUAUAAUAAUCAUCAUGCUGAUUUAUUAGACCUAAAAUCUCAUAAUCCAGCAAACAUAUUCGAUUAUCUUCAUAGGACACAAUCACCUAACUAAAUGCAACUAAAAUCUCAUAAAUCAAAGAGAAAUUUGGUUAAAGAUCACAAUCACCUAAGUAAAUCAAAAUUGUUUUAAACUAAAUUAAAUAUCUGUUUAUCCACGAUAUAAAAUCACCAUUCUCAUCUUCUAUACCUAAAAUCUCAUAGUCAAGCAAACAUCUUUGACUAUAUUCUCAAGACACAAUCAUCUAACUAAAUCCACAUUGCUUUAUGUUUAUUAAAGAUCCAUUUAUUCACCAAUAUAGUAACCACCAUGCUCAUUUACUAGACAUAAAUUUUAUAAUCCACCGAACAUCUUUGAAUAUCUCGUCAAGAUCACAAUCACCUAACUUAAUCUCCACUACAUCUUCAUUUCGUAAAACCUUAUUUUCAGAAUCAUCCCAUGGGCAUUAGUGACACCCUUUGGUUUCUGUAUAACUUUUAUGAGUAACAAAGAUUCUUCCCAAGUCUUAUGAUUUAUGCGAUUAGCAUGGCUAAGCGUUACUAUUAAACUUGCACAUAUGACCCAAAUUUAUCUGUCACCACUACAUGGUUAGGAGGGGUAUUAAGAAUGUCAAAGGAGGGUGUCAAUAUCAAGCACAUAAAGCAUAGCUAAACCCUAGCUAAUUUACUUAGCAUAAGAAUGUGAAAGGGGUGUCAAUAUCAAGCACAUAGGGCAUAGAUAAACCCUAGCUAAUUUACUUAACAUAGAAAUACUAGUAAUAAUACUUUAUGCAUGAAAAAUAAUUCUAGGUGUAAUGCAAAUAUGGGUUCAACAUGAUCAAAGUAAGUUGCUUGCCUUGCUCAACAAAGUCUUCAAUGGUUCUCGUCAUUCCUCGAGCGUCCUUGAAUCUUUCAAUGUUACGAAAGAUAAUGAUUUCUAUUGAUUGGAAAAAUAAAAUUAACACACAAUCAAUAAACAAUAUGUGCAAAAUGCUCGAAAAUUUACGAAAGUAGUAUCAUUGGAAAGAGGGAAAUUUUAGAUGAAUUUUGGAAGUACCCUGGAUUUUAGAAAAAGAGAAAUAGUAUUGUGGGCCAGAACGGGUCUGCCUGAUUAGUGCUGCACCAGGGAAGGGGGUCGACGUCGCGCCGAUUUAAACCUGCAUUGGGGCGAUCACACAAGCCACACAUGAGCAGCAAAACCAGGAUAAUCAAACAAUAUAUAAAGUUCACAAUCAGGCAAUAACAAAUAAGAUUAUAUGGACAAACUAGAGGAUAUUACUUCAAGUGGCUGCACCAAGGAAACCAGAAUGCAGCUGAAGCAGGAGCAGAUAGCUUAAUUCAGAGAGGUUUUUUUUGUUUGGGGGGGCACUAUUAGCAGGAGCAGGAAUGGCAGUUGUUGUGGUAGGCGCAGGUCCGGCGGUGGAUUGAUCCUGGGAUGCAGCAGGUGUUAUAACUUCAGUAGAAUACGCUGUAGGCUGCCCAUAGCUACCAGUACCAUAACAAUCACAGUAUGACUGCUACUAGCGAUAGCGUGGCUGACUGUAUCCAUACUGCCCCUAACCAGCCUUAGUAGGCGGUGCCUGUCCAUACGGAGCAGAUGAAGGCGGCUUCUGAGCAUACGGAGGCUACCCAUAAGCACCCUGGCCAUACGUGCCCAGUGGUGGUGGCUGCAUAUCAUAGCCAGGCUGUGUCUGUGGAGCAACGUAUCCAUAUUGAGGGGCAAAACCUUGCGCCGUUUAGCUUGAUGCAGCAGCACUAGUAUAGGUGGUUGAUUAGGAUAACCCAGUUAGCCUCCAGUAGCUGGAGUUGAAGCUUGCUGCCUUGAAGAUGCUUGACCAGCUCCACCUGGACCACCGUAGCUCGGUGCAGUACCAUACCCUUGUGAAGCAUGAGUAGCAGGCUGGCUGUAACUGUACCUGCUAGCACCAGCAGGCACAACAGUUCCAGUGGCAGACUGUUAUUGUUGGGAUUGCUGCUGUUGGUUAUAGUAGUCAUAGCCAGUGCCAAGGGAAGCUGCUGUACCAUAAGGUUGCUGGCCAUACUAUGGUGGUGCACCAGGAUAAGCUCCAGGCUCCAUGUAAACAUGCUGUUGUGUUGCUGGUGCAUCAGGCGCGUCCCAGUUUGCCCGAGGGCAGAGAGGAUGGUAUCCCUGUUGGAUUUCUGGCAUGAUUGUGCAAAAAUAUAGUUUCACAUCAGAAUAGGUAUACAACACAACAUACAAUGUACCAUGCAGAACAAGUGCAAACCAGACAAAACAUAUCUAAAGACAAAACAAUGUAAUAUACUGUAAUUUCAGAACCACCAAGAAAAAUGGAGGGAUCAACUCUCGGAGCAAGAUUCUCAAGUAACAUUGGUGAUGCCCAUCUGGCGUCUACCAUGUGCAGAACUAUGGGACCUAAUGAAGAUCGGGCAGCUAGAUAAACACAUGUAUAU